CCUACGGGUGGCAGCAGUGGGGAAUAUUGGUCAAUGGGGGGAACCCUGAUCCCGCGACGUCGCGUGAGUGAAGAAGUAUUUCGGUAUGUAAAGCUCUAUCAGCAGGGAAGAAAGAAAUGACGGUACCUGCCUAAGAAGCCCCGGCUAACUAAGUGCCAGCAGCCGCGGUAAUACGUAGGGGGCAAGCGUUAUCCGGAUUCACUGGGUGGAAAGGGAGCGUAGACGGCGAUGCAAGUCUGAGGUGAAAGGCGGGGGCCCAACCCCUGGACUGCUUUGGAAACUGUAUGGCUGGAGUGCAGGAGAGGUAAGUGGAAUUCGUGGUGUAGCGGUGAAAUGCGUAGAUAUUAGGAGGAACACCAGUGGCGAAGGCAGCUUACUGGACUGUAACUGACGUUGAGGCUCGAAAGCGUGGGGAGCAAACAGGAUUAGAUACCCGGGUAGUC
rnacentral:rRNA from 1 species